CGACGGCGCAUCGGACGAGGGAAGCGAACCCGCGCACCUGCACAGUUCCACUGAGUUACAAGCGUGACGUCAUAUCCAGACAGAGUUACAGACCGACUGAUGAAGUCGCCGGUCGUUGCGUUGGUAUGUAGGACGUGGCCUCGCAUUACAAGCGCUCGCUGCGUUAAGCGCUACGUGAGGAGACUGCAGGUGACGCCUAAUGCAGGAGUCAGCUGACUGCCACCGCCGCCGUGACUCAGCUGUCACCACGGCCGGCCGAGGACACGGACGACGCAGGAGUGGAGGGAGACCCCAGUGUAAACUGGCUCGCAGUUGUAACAGGAUCAAUUGUAACGCAGUGAGUGUGAGUGAGUGGUGUCGUGCCGCGCGCUGUGUCCACUGAGCCGCGGCGGGUACUGACCAGCCACUGACCAGCCACUGACAUAAUGUUACGACGAACAACUUUACGACCAUCAUUACCUGCCACUAAUUACCGCGCGGUUAUGUCACAUACUGCUACACUAUCAUUUUUUGAGGGGAGAACAUUAACGUAACAUCCAACGUCUUCUGCCGCCUUGGGCGAGGCGAGCGGGAGUGUCAGACUUAUUGACCAUGAACCACCCCGUUCUUACUCCUGCUCUUCGAGCCGGAGCCGGGACGAUCUCGUUGAUAACAGUUGUAACACAUAGUGCCUACUUACAUGGGUAUGGACUGAUAGGGCGCCACUGGGAACUAACGAAUGGUAUAUUGGUACGAUGUCUACGACGUAACUGAAUGCGUUGCAUGUGAAAUCUGGAAAUAGCAGGCCGUUGUUCUCGACAACUAUAGGAGAUGAAUUAUAAGUCGUACAAACAUAAGACUAUAAUACGCUUUCAUUUCGUAAGAAUAGGUACUCGGUCGGUCCCACAAUAUGUCAUUAAAACUUUAAUAUGAUAAACUUUUAUUUUGUCUUCAAUUCAUUAACUUUCCAUAUUAUACUCGUAUUUUUCACCUAGCGCCAGUAUUUCAGCUCGCCCUGUGACCUCCAGUGUGUCCCCUACCGAGCGUACAGCCCGCGCAGCGCCCCGCGCCCCGCGCCCGCGCGUCCCUCGCGCUACACAUUGGUACUGUAUAGGUCUCCUAGUACACCUACAAGUAAGACGCUAAGUGGCCAGUGCACCCACGAAUCAAUACCGCUGCGUUCCAGGGAUACAGCGCGCAGCACCGCGACACGCGAGCGAGACGACACAUACCCACCACGAGGAGGGACGACAGUGCGCCCAGUAUUUGUAGCUAUGCACUGGAACUGCGCGCAGGGUGCACAGAGGGCACUAGUUGGUUGCAGUUACACUGGGCGCACUAUGGCUGACUACUGCGAUGUAGAUACAGCUAGGCACGUAGGUACAGGCUAGACUUGCUACUGUAGUGGUUCGUUCUGCUCCCUCGCGCACACAAUGUGACAUUGACUUUUUACGGAACAUUUCCGAGGUUAGCGUUACGUAGGUAAUUGUGAUUACACUGCGCGGUGGCACGGGGACAAGUAGACAAUGCUGUUACAUCACACGGGUCGCGACCUGUGUCGGCCCGUAGCUACUGCUCUCCUCAACCAGCAGUACCUGCUGCCCUGGUGCUGGGUACUGCUGAUUAUAUCAUCUGCGGCUCAGCGGCCAGUUCACAUUUCUGUAAACUAUGAUCAUUUGUUAAUCUCCAUACACGGUUGCACAGGUAGUGCUCAGCAGGUACUCUCUUCUGCCCUACACGAGAGUAGUGGCCAGUGUGGACGUGGACAUUGUUACUACUGCAGGCUGCGCGUGUUUACCCUGUACAGCAGUGUACAGCAAUAUACUGUAGUGUGCAGCAAUGUACAGCAGUGUACAGUAGUGUGCUGCAGUGUACAGUAAUACAUUAGUGCAGUAUCCUCGACGACGAGUAACGUUAUCAUGUCAUUCAGUCACAUUGGCGCGGUGUCGAGUGUCAGCAACUCGAGCAGUGCGCAGGCGCAGGCGUCCCCUACGCAAACAAAGUAUAUGUGGAAUAAUGUUCUAUAGAAUCUGAUGUAGGAAUGGUUUGUUUCGUAAUAAAGUAUAAUAUUAUGUAGUGUGUGGUAUGUGGCAUGGUGCGCGGCGGCAGGUUCUCGCACCAUUAUGUAAGGUAUCACAUGGAGAGUGGCGCUGCGGUACUGCAGCACUGGACUACUGGCAACUGGCGACUGGCGACUGGCGCAUCUAAUUACUAACUACUCGUAUAUACUGUACCAAGUACUUCCUUGACUCUAGUAAUGUAUGCGUGUAAUAAGGAGUUGAGGAGUCAGCUACACGUGCGUGUAAUGACAGGGGAUCGGACAGUGCGCAGGCGCACCGGAAGUGCCGCGCCGCACAUCCGGUCCCAGAGACACGCGAGGGAGGCACUCACCAGGCCGAGAACAACGGAGGUAUUCAUUCGCAGGGAUGUGAGGUCAGUCACUCAGGCAGAGUUAAACAGUUUGACCAGGUAACAAU